CUAACAAGAUGAGAGUAGCUGCCUUUGUGUCAUAUGAGUUGAAUUAGCCUGGGAAAUUCACUAUUCAUGACUGUCCCAUCUCCUGUGGAAGAGAAAGGAUAAUGCCCCACCUAAACGCGCCAGCAUUUUCUGGAAGCCUUCCCCCUUGCAGACAAUGUGCUGAAGCCACAGGAGACGAGAGCUGCACCCCGCUCUCAGUACUAGAGGACCCUGUUCCCAGGGGGCACACGAUGACCACUGACCUCAGAGGUCCCGAAGGGGCUGGCGCAACUAAAAACAUCAGCAGUGUCUAGUGACACAGUAAGAAGACGCCUGCGCCUCUGAACUGAGUGUUGUUACGCUGCUUCCCAGGAGCACAGCCUGGCCCUCGCAGCUCAUCGCCCAGGACCAAGGGUCUUCUCUCGUGCCAUUCGAUGGAAUUUAACGGUUUUCCACCGACAGCGUCUUCUCUCGUGUCAUUCGAUGGAAUUUAACGGCCGUUUUCCACCUACAGCUUUUUCUGUCAAGUUAUUCGAUGGACAUUAAAAAAAAGCCUCAUGAAGUAAGACUGUCAUUACUCUCACCUUGGUUUUGAGGCAAAAGCCAGAAGAAGCACAACUGUGAUGUGUCCAAGUCCAAUCACCAGUUAGGAGUGAGCACCACCUUCUUCAAGUGCACGCUUCCCGCCGCCGAGUUGACACUGGGGUGGUGACACCUGAGUUGACAACCAGGUGGGGAAGCAGCAGCCCCACCACGUGGCCCUCAGCAGGUCCUGAGAACCCACAAGAGGCGCUGGGGAGAUGGGAAGAACACGCACACCCCACACAUGUGCCUCUGCUGUCCUGGGCCCCCUCAGCCCAAGGCGCCCACAGCCCCCGCUGGUGGGAGGCCUGGUUGAAUGUUGCUAUAGGCAGAGUCUCCCCCACUGCAGUGCGCAGGACAUGAGAACAGAAGUGCUCAGCAUCCGGCUGCUGAGGCUCAUGGGAUCCCUACGGCGUGGUGUCACCCGGCAGCAGACCACCCUGUCCAGCCUCAGUCCCUGCCUUCCCCAGGCAUAUCCCCACAUCACGCCCAUCAAGGCCCCCCAAAGUCCGGGACAGGCCUGUCCUCCAGCUCAGCCAGGCAGCGUCCCUGUCACCACAUGUGCCUAUCCCUUCCUGAAGAGCUGUCCUGCGGUCCCCAAAGAGCCAAAGGGUCCCCAUCACCAUUAACUGCCUUCCCACUUUCCAGAACCCCCGUCCCUGACUCUGGUGGUUCAAAUCCUAAGCCGACUGCCAGCUCUCAUUCUGUGUGGCCAUGAGAGGUACUGUGGGAAAUGAACAAGAGAACCAGAACGGCUUAUAAUCUUGCGCCUUGGUGGGUGGCAUGCUCUUAUCAGUGACAAAGGAAUGAAAAGCACCACCCCAGCUAAUGCCAUCUCAAGUGCAAGGGAAAGUACAGCACAAAACGGAGUGCCAACAAUUCAUCUCUUGAAAUUACAGACUUGACGUGAUAGUGCUGCCUCGAAAAACAAAAGGCGUCUAGAAGCCUCUGCCCGGUGGAAGCCGGCUGACAUGCUCCCUCCCAAGACAGUACACAGCCCAUGCCCCUCACAUGUCCAGCCGAAGCCUCUGUCCAAUGGCAGCCAGCUGACACGCUCCCUCCUGGGGGCAGCAUGCAGCCCACACCCCUCAUACAUCCAGCCUCCAGGCCAAGCAGGCCGCCUUCUCCAAGCCUGCUGCCUCACUCCUUUAUGAGAAAAGACUGUGGGGUCACACCUGUCCUUGGUCUGUUAGCAAGAGAGCCCGUCACAGCGACUUGCAGGGCCACCUCCAGGUCACUGCAUCUGGGUACCUGCUGAGGAGGCUCCGCCCACUUUUCUGCCUGGAGCCCACACUGACCAGACCUUCCUCCCAGCUCUAGGUCACUGUCGGGGGCUCAAUGUCCCACCGCAGACAGACAUCCACCCCUGUGUGGAGUCCACAUUCUGCCCUGAAAGACACAUACAGGGCAGCAUCACCAUUUCACCCCACAGAGAACCUGGAGAAGAAACAGCACUUGACCACCCAAGUUCAAAAGAACCUGUGUCCUGUGUCCUGGGCUGAACAGUGUCCCCACAAAACUCAUGUCCUGCCCAGGACCCCAGACUGUGACCUGACUUGGAACUGGGGUCUCUGCAGACGUGAUGACCUAAGCUGUGAUGAUGUCAUCCUGGAGAAGAGGGGCUCCAAAUCCAGUGACUGUCCUCAUACGGAGAGGAGAAGGAGACAGGAGGAGACACAGGGAGAAGCCAGCCAUGGGGGGCGCGGGCAGAGGCUGGAGGGAUGUGGCCAGCACGGAAGCUGGGAGAGGGAAAGACCCUGCAGAGUAAGCGUGGCCCUGCUCACACCUCGAUCCCAGGCAUCGGCCUCCAGACCUGUGUGAGAACACCAGUCUGUUCUAAGCCAGCCAGGCUGGGAGCUUUGUCACAGUGGCCACAGGAACCUGUGAGGCACCCUGCAAGACACAAUAGGGACAGGUGCAAGCGAAGCAGCCCCUGGCAGCCGCUGCUUCCUGCUAGGAAAUACCACUGGCUCUUGGAGUGAAUGAUUUAAAAAGAACUACAAUGGUCCGACAGGCCAAGCUUGAAUGCAUAACAUUUUACUCUGUGCCAAUGAAUCCAAUCCCUAACUGCUAGGAGGCUUCGAGGGGAUCUGCCAUCCACAGCAGCAUUCUUUACAGCAGACGAGACCGGGCGUGCUCAGGGCAGCAUGGCCGUAGACAGCAGUCCUUAGGAAAGUCCUCAGAUCGGGGUCAGCGGCUUGGAUGCACAGUCCGGGCAGAGGCCUGUGUGAGCCAUGGGUAGAAAUCCUAAGAACUAACCCACUCUCUCUUCGCAGAGAAAACAGGCAGGCGAGUGCUGCUGCCCUUCCAGCUCAUCCCUCAGGAGAACAAUCCGAGGCUGUCAAAGGCCUGACAAUAAGCUCCUUUGCAUAAGACGCAAACGUCAGCUGCCCAAAUCCAGGGCUCCACCGGUCCUUGGGAACUCUAAGAAAGCCAACACCCCAAAAAGCAAAUUUCUCUCUCCCUCUUUCCAAAAGCUCAUUUCCUCAGUUCGGGAAGGUGGUGCUUAGAGACAUCACCUACUGUGUGCUUCAAAAUAUGGACUUUUCCUUCAGAAAAAGAAACAAAAUCUUUUUGCGGACGAGUAAGAAGGAGAAACUUAACACCUGCCCCCUCGUGAGCUGCCCAGGUUGGUGAGGACGGCAGGCCUCUGACUGCUGAGGCCACGGGCGUCACUGCGGCUCUGAAGCAACAGCAGACUGAGGUGGGGCGAUACAGCCAAUUCCGCUCCCACGCGGCUCAAGCCGGGGCUGGGGAGGUUUGCGCCAUGCAUUUAUCUGACUUGUUUUGUUUUCUGAGCAACAAUCAUUAAGAAUGAAACGGGGCCACAGGGAGAAGGGUAAAGCAAUGUUCUGAACAUUUCAACAAUUCCACCUAAGCGCAAGCGACACAGGUCCACCUGGCCUGAGAGGGCGGGAGAAGGAGCUCCUGUUCCCAUCUCCACCCAGAUUUCACUCCAGAGGAAGUGAGCCCGGGCAGGUGGUAUGAGGGCGGGCCGUGCUCUCUCAGUCCAUAGAGCAGGGCUCCUCUCCAUGUGGACACCAGAGGAGCUGGGAACAGGGAGGCACAGCAAAGGCCUGUGGUCACACGGGCCACGAUUAUAGGCACUAACUCCAUCCUGCGAGCUCUAGCUCCUGUCCCACAAGACACUGCCUUGAGGCCGGGUGCAGUGGCUCACACCUGUAAUCCCAACACUUUGAAAGGCCAAGGUGGCCAGAUCACCUGAGGACAGGAAUUCUAGACCAGCCCGGACAACAGGGUGAAACCCAGUCUCUACUAAAAACAGAAAAACUGGCCCAUGGUGGCGGGCACCUGUAGUCCCAGCUAUUGAGGAAACUGAGCCAGGAGAACUGCUUGAACCCGAGAGGCAGAGGUUGCAGUGAGCCAAGAUCACACCACUGCACUCCAGCCUGGGCAACAAAGUGAGACUCCAACUCCCAAAGAAAAGAGAAGCAGACACUGCCUUGCCAGUGAGCUGCCAAGGGGGUCGCUGAGUGCCAAGGAGGAGGCUGGGUACUCACAGCAUGAGCAUGCCCCAAGCCAUGAGGUCCAGCAGCCUGGUGAGCAAGCCAGUGACCAUGGCUAUCUGGGGGACAGCCCCAAAGCUGGCAGGCCCAGGAGAGCCCAUGCCAGUCUCCCACUCCCCAUUCAGGCUUCCAGACCCCAGUCGAGGUUGGCAGCCCUUCCCAAGCAAGCUCAGCAGGGAAGGUCAGCUCACGGCCACAACACGCAGGGAGUUGGGGCUGGCAGCAUGCAGUGCCUUCCACCGCCCCACACAGACUCCCUGAGUACAGACACGGCCACCCCACUGCCACAGGCUCCACUCUGAGUAUUGCCCUCUCAUGUCCGUCACCUUGCUGGAACAUUCUCUGUGCCUGAUUUUAAAAACAACACAUGGUGGAUGAUGCCUCAGCCUGAAUUUCCAAAUCAGACCUGGCCGCCCUCCAACUUCAUAGCUGAUGCCCCUGUCAUCUCCCUGGAGGAGCAGGGACUCCUCCCCUGGGAACAGGACCCACCGAAGAAUGCUACCGCCCCACACGGCACGGCCUGCUCAUCCCACCUCACCUGGGAAUAGGGCCCAUCCCACAACAUCACUGCCCCACACGCAUGGCACACUCACCCACCUCACCUGGGAAUAGGGCCCACUCCACAACAUCACCGCCCCACAAGCAUGGCACACUCAUCCCACCUCACCUGGGAAUAGCGCCCAUCCCACAACAUCACUGCCCCACACGCAUGGCACACUCACCCCACCUCACCUGGGAAUAGGGCCCAUCCCACAACAUCACUGCCCCACACGCAUGGCACACUCACCCACCUCACCUGGGAAU